UUAUAUUGCUUGUAGGUUAUUAUUAUUUAAUUUCUAUAAAAUGGUAAUGUGUUGGGUACGCGAAUGGUUAUCAUUGAUAUUGAAAUCUGCUGAAGGGAGUAAAACUACUCAUUUUAUGUUCCUGCUAUUUUUAUAAAGAAGAUAAAGAAAAUCUUCUCACCAUAUUUUCAAAUAGGACUGGUGAAGAUGCUGAAGAAAUGCAGUAGUACUAUCUUGUGUGUAAAUCCUUGAUUUUGUGUAAUUUAUAAAAUUGAAAGCAAUAUGAUAUGACUAACAAUGAGAUUGUGUCUAUAAAAAAAUAUAUCACAGGUACAA
rnacentral:lncRNA from 1 species